rnacentral:rRNA from 1 species
GACGAACGCUGGCGGCGUGCCUAAUACAUGCAAGUCGAACGCACAGUUUAUACCGUAGCUUGCUACACCAUAGACUGUGAGUUGCGAACGGGUGAGUAACGCGUAGGUAACCUGCCUGGUAGCGGGGGAUAACUAUUGGAAACGAUAGCUAAUACCGCAUAAUAUUAAUUAUUGCAUGAUAAUUAAUUGAAAGGUGCAAUUGCACCACUACCAGAUGGACCUGCGUUGUAUUAGCUAGUAGGUGAGGUAACGGCUCACCUAGGCGACGAUACAUAGCCGACCUUAGAAGGUGAUCGGCCACACUGGGACUGAGACAAGGCCCAGACUCCUACGGGAGGCAGCAGUAGGGAAUCUUCGGCAAUGGACGAAAGUCUGACCGAGCAACGCCGCGUGAGUGAAGAAGGUUUUCGGAUCGUAAAGCUCUGUUGUAAGAGAAGAACGGGUGUGAGAGUGGAAAGUUCACACUGUGACGGUAUCUUACCAGAAAGGGACGGCUAACUACGUG